rnacentral:rRNA from 1 species
GCCUACGGGGGGCAGCAGUAGGGAAUCUUCCACAAUGGGCGAAAGCCUGAUGGAGCAACGCCGCGUGGGUGAAGAAGGUCUUCGGAUCGUAAAACCCUGUUGUUAGAGAAGAAAGUGCGUGAGAGUAACUGUUCACGUUUCGACGGUAUCUAACCAGAAAGCCACGGCUAACUACGUGCCAGCAGCCGCGGUAAUACGUAGGUGGCAAGCGUUAUCCGGAUUUAUUGGGCGUAAAGGGGACGCAGGCGGUCUUUUAAGUCUGAUGUGAAAGCCUUCGGCUUAACCGGAGUAGUGCAUUGGAAACU